rnacentral:rRNA from 1 species
GACGAACGCUGGCGGCGUGCCUAAUACAUGCAAGUAGAACGCUGAAGAGAGGAGCUUGCUCUUCUUGGAUGAGUUGCGAGCGGGUGAGUAACGCGUAGGUAACCUGCCUUGUAGCGGGGGAUAACUAUUGGAAACGAUAGCUAAUACCGCAUAACAAUGGAUGACACAUGUCAUUUAUUUGAAAGGGGCAAUUGCUCCACUACAAGAUGGACCUGCGUUGUAUUAGCUAGUAGGUGAGGUAAUGGCUCACCUAGGCGACGAUACAUAGCCGACCUGAGAGGGUGAUCGGCCACACUGGGACUGAGACACGGCCCAGACUCCUACGGGAGGCAGCAGUAGGGAAUCUUCGGCAAUGGGGGCAACCCUGACCGAGCAACGCCGCGUGAGUGAAGAAGGUUUUCGGAUCGUAAAGCUCUGUUGUAAGUCAAGAACGGGUGUGAGAGUGGAAAGUUCACACUGUGACGGUAGCUUACCAGAAAGGGACGGCUAACUACGUG